rnacentral:rRNA from 1 species
CCUACGGGGGGCAGCAGUGAGGAAUAUUGGUCAAUGGCCGGAAGGCUGAACCAGCCAUGCCGCGUGAAGGUCAGUGCCCUAUGGGCGUUAAACUUCUUUUGUGCGGGAGCAAUAAUGGUCACGUGUGGCCAGACGAGAGUACCGUACGAAUAAGCAUCGGCUUACUCCGUGCCAGCCGCCGCGGUAAUACGGGGGAUGCAAGCGUUAUCCGGGUUUUAUGGGUUUAAAGGGUGCGUAGGCUGGUAGGUAAGUCAGCGGGGGAAUGCCCCCGCUCAACGGGGUGAAGUGCCAUUGAUACUGCCUUGCUGGAAUGCGGAUGCGGUAGGAGGAAUGUGUGGUGUAGCGGUGAAAUGCAUAGAGAUCACACAGAACACCGAUUGCGAAGGCAUCUCACGAAUCCGCGAUUGACGCUGAUGCACGAAAGCGUGGGUAUCAAACAGGAUUAGAUACCCUAGUAGUC